AGCAGCCGCGGUAAUUCCAGCUCCAAUAGCGUAUAUUAAAGUUGUUGCAGUUAAAAAGCUCGUAGUUGAAUUUCGGGGUUAGUAGGCUGGUCGUGCCACAGGUAUGCACUGGUCUUACUGAUUCCUCCUUCCUGAUGAACCGUAAUGCCAUUAAUUUGGUGUUGCGGGGAGUCUGGACUGUUACUUUGAAAAAAUUAGAGUGUUUAAAGCAGGCUAACGCUUGAAUACAUUAGCAUGGAAUAACGAAAUAGGACGUUCGAUCCUAUUUUGUUGGUUUCUAGGAUUGACGUAAUGAUUAAUAGGGAUAGUUGGGGGCAUUAGUAUUCAAUUGUCAGAGGUGAAAUUCUUGGAUUUAUUGAAGACUAACUACUGCGAAAGCAUUUGCCAAGGAUGUUUUCAUUAAUCAAGAACGAAAGUUAGGGGAUCGAAGACGAUCAGAUACCGUCGUAGUCUUAACCAUAAACUAUGCCGACUAGGGAUCGGAUGAUGUUAAUUUUUUAAUGGCUCAUUCGGCGCCUUACGG
rnacentral:rRNA from 1 species